rnacentral:rRNA from 1 species
UACGAAGGGGGCUAGCGUUGUUCGGAAUUACUGGGCGUAAAGCGUAUGCAGGCGGAUCGUUAAGUCGGGGGUGAAAUCCCGAGGCUCAACCUCGGAACUGCCUUCGAUACUGGCGACCUUCGAGUCCGGGAGAGGUGAGUGGAACUCCGAGUGUAGAGGUGAAAUUCGUAGAUAUUCGGAAGAACACCAGUGGCGAAGGCGGCUCACUGGUCCGGUACUGACGCUGAGGUGACGAAAGCGUGGGGAGCAAACAGG